GUGAACCUUUACUGUAGCUUGGCAUUGAAACUUGGAUAUUCAUGUGUAGGAUAGGUGGGAGACUAGGAAAGAUGCUCGUCAGAGUGUCUGGAGUCGUUGGUGAAAUACCACCCUUGGCUAUCUAGGUUUCUAACGGUGGCCCUGAAGCGGGUCAGUGGACAAUGUCAGGUGGGCAGUUUGACUGGGGCGGUCACCUCCUAAAGAGUAACGGAGGUGUACAAAGGUA
rnacentral:rRNA from 1 species